GGCGGCGCGAGCGCCCGGGCGCUGGGUCCGAGUUGAGGCCGGCGCUGGGCGGCCGACUGUCUGCAGCAUGAGCGGGGCCGGCGUCCCCCGCCUGCCGGCGGGGCUGGGGCUGUGAGGGCCUCGGUUCCGGACUGAAGUGGCCUCGUCCGGCCCCGGCGCGCCGCCCGAUCCCAUGGAGCUGGAGGGGCAGUGGUGGCGGGGACAGCUGGCUGCUGAUAUUCACCAAGCCCUUCGGUACAAGGAGCUGAAGUUACCCUCCUAUAAAGGCCAGUCCCCUCAACUAAGUCUCAGAAGGUAUUUUGCUGACUUGAUUGCCAUUGUGAGCAAUCGCUUCACACUCUGCCCUUCUGCCCGACAUCUUGCUGUCUAUUUGCUGGACCUAUUUAUGGAUCGGUAUGACAUCUCUAUCCAGCAGCUUCAUUUAGUUGCACUUUCCUGUCUGCUUCUGGCAAGUAAAUUUGAAGAAAAAGAAGAUAGUGUGCCUAAGCUAGAGCAGCUCAACAGCCUGGGUUGUAUGACUAAUAUGAAUCUAGUAUUGACUAAACAAAAUUUGCUACAUAUGGAACUAUUAUUAUUAGAAACUUUUCAGUGGAACCUCUGCCUUCCAACAGCUGCCCAUUUCAUCGAGUAUUAUCUCUCUGAAGCAGUACACGAAACAGAUCUUCAUGAUGGCUGGCCAAUGAUUUGCCUGGAAAAAACUAAACUCUACAUGGCCAAGUAUGCAGAUUACUUCCUAGAAGUAUCUUUGCAAGAUUAUGCCUUUCUAAAUUAUGCACCUUCUUUAGUAGCUGCUGCAUGUGUGGCUUCUUCAAGGAUUAUACUUCGUCUUUCUCCAACGUGGCCUACAAGACUUCAUCGUCUUACUGCUUACUCCUGGGAUUUCUUAGUGCAGUGCAUUGAACGGCUAUUGAUUGCUCAUGAUAAUGAUGUGAAAGAAGCAAACAAACAAAGAGGACAAGCAGUACCUCAGCCAGCACAACUAAGUGUGUUCCAGACAACAUCCCAGCCCUCUCGGUCAGUUCACUUUCAACAACCUCAGUAUCUCCAUCAGACGCAUCAGACCUCACUGCAGUAUCGCCAUCCUGUAUCAGAGCAACCAAGCUGUCAGCAGAUUGUAUCUACCACACACACCUCAUCUUACACACUACAGACAUGUCCUGCUGGGUUCCAGACUAGUGUUCAGGGCCUUGGGCAUGUGCAGACUGGUGUUGGGAUGUCACUGGCAAUACCAGUGGAAGUUAAGCCCUGUCUAAAUGUUUCUUAUAACCGGAGUUAUCAGCUAAAUGAACAUUUCCCUUGCAUUACUCCAUGUUUUGAAAGGUGAUUUUGUGUGAUGGUAAUGGUAACACCUGAUCCAGACUGUUUUGUGACUUGAAGCUGUGGGCCAGCUUUUUGUAAACUUCUCUAAAGGGAUUCAAAUUGCAUCAGAACUCUUCAAAUAGCAGCACCAGGAAGACUGAAUAUCCCUUUGAAUGCACCAUGAAUACCAGGAGGACUAAGCACACACUUUAACAGCAAACACUGUUGAAGAUUUUUUUAUUGGAGACUGAGAAAAGAUAAGUUGAUGCCACAUUUUAUGAAGAUAAGUCUAAUUAUUAUCAGGAGGGAUACUUAAUAAUUUGGGAAUUUUCUGUUUGCAGACUAUGUGGGGAUGAAAUCCUAAUGGGGAUUACAGAUGUGCUCAUUGAAUAUGAAAACAAAAGAAAGACUAAAGAUAAUCCUGAUGAAGCCUGCAGGACUGGACACCAUCCAGCCUUUCUCCUAUUGAUGACUUGAGUCUCUUAAGAGAACAUUAAGUGGUUGGUCAUCACCUGUGGAGCAGUGGAGAGGGGUGGGUCUCUGUGUGAAUUGUGGUAGGAAUUUUCAAGGGUGAGGCUUGGCAAGAGCUGCUGCUUUUUGGGAUCCAAAUAGCGCUCCACUCCCUAGCAUCUGGUAGGUGCCUACGAUAACUGUACUGUAUUUGGGCCGAGUAUCAGAAGACUUGCUCCUAUCUGGAGUACCUAUGCAUUUCUUUAUCAGCGCAAGGGGAUUUGGAUAUAAGGCCUAACAGUAUUGCUCAGAAACCAAAGAUCUGGAUUGUUGUCCCAGGAGUGUUUUUUCAAGACAUUUUCUCUUGCAUGAAAGCAACUAAGAUAUAAUGUAAGAACCAAACACUUGCAUAAAGAUUCAUAUAAUUUCUGCAGUACCUUUUUCUCUAAAGGUCAUCUAGUAGGCAUAAAGGAGAGUGGAAGUUAUGACCAGAAGACAAGAGGUGUUACAAGAGAGAUGUGCCUUGAAGUCCAAAUGUUCCCAACUACAGUUCAUGAAAAGGGACAUGAUCUUAUAUUAAUAUAUGCAUUUAGAGUUCAUAGAGCUCCUCAUAGUUUUAAUUUCAUUUGAGAAAGUUCAUGAAGUAUAAAGGGAAAGUAUUAACUUCAUGUUUUAAAUAAAAACUGAAGCUCAAAGAUUUUGAUUGUUUAAAGUCACACAGCUACUUAGUGGCAGAGAUGAGAGUAAAGCCCAGAUAUGUCACCUAUUGUGCAUCUAUGAAUUUGACAAUCUUUAUAUUGGCUGCAAUCUGAAGAGAGAAGAAAGGAUAAAAUUGUUUAUGUUUUUCAAUGUUGUCCUAGUUGUAGAAUCUUAAUGUUGAAACAUUAGAAGUCAUCUAAUCCUAUCUUCUAAUCCAGAAAUAGCAAAUGAUGAACUCUCACAUCUCAAGCAGGCAGAUGUGACUGAGCUUAGUGUCUCGUUUAAUUCCAGAGCCUAUUCUAGAGCUCAGAGAAUAUGGAUAGAGCGGUGGAUAGGAAGUGUAUGGCCCAGACUGCGUUAACUACCCUAACACCCUUGCCUUCAUUCUGCUUCAGUAACAGAGCCCAAGUUUUCAACUGGGCACAUGGUCACACAUAUAAAUGACUUUCUCAGCCUCCCUUUCAAUUAAGUAUAUCAUGUGACUAAGUUUCAGCCAAUAAAAUGUAAAUGGAAGCAUUGUUUGAGACUUCCUGAAAGUCUCCUUUAAAAGGGAGGGAGAGAAAUAUGCCCAAGGCCAUACAACCUGGUAAAUAGUGGAGCUGAGAUUUCCACUGUACCCUAAGGGCUUGGGGAAAUCUGGUGAACAUCUAGAGUGGAGUUUGGCAAGCUUAGACCUGCAGCUAAGAAUACUUUUUUCCUUUUUUAACAGUUGAAAAAAAAUCUAAAGAAUAUUAUUUUUGUGACAGUUUCAGAGUCCAUAAAUAAAGUUUCAUUGAAACAACCACAGUGAUUAAUUUAUAUCUUAUCAAGGGCUGCUUUUACAAUGACAGAGUUGACGAGUUAGUUGUGACAAAGUUUCUAUGGCCUACGAAGAACAAAAUAUUAUCUGGCUUUUAACAGAAAACUGUUACUGACCCCUGACCUAGAAAAAGGGAAGGGAUGUGGUGCAAGUAGGAUGUGUGACUGGGUAGGGAUAGUGUAACUCUGCUGGGCAUUCUAGAAGUUCAAGUGGGCCAGGGGAUAUUUGCUUAGCAAAUAUCAGUUGCUUACAAAUAUUUAUUCACUUCACAAAAGCAGGACCAAUAAGCACAUACAAAGAUCCUCGGCGUCAGUAGCCAUCAAAGAAGUGUACAUUAAAACCACAAUGAGAUACCACUACUUGCCUACUAGAAUGGCUACAUAGUGUUGGUGAGAAUAUGGAGCAGUAGGAACUCUAAAACAUUGCUGGUGGAAAUGUAAAAUAGUACAACCACUCUGGGAAAAGUUUGGCAGUUUCUUAUAAAGUUAAGUAUCCACUUACUGUAUGACCCAAGUCAUUCCAUUCCGAAGUAUUUACCCAAGAGAAAUGAAAACAUAUGUCUGAACAAAGGCAGCCAAAAAACUGGAAACAACCCAAAUGUCCCUCCAUAGGUGAAUGGAUAGACAAACUAUGGUGUAUACAUACAAUGGAAUAGUACUAAGCAGUAAAAAUGAACAAACCACUGAUAUAUAAACAACAUGAAUUUCAAAAACAUGACGCUGAAUGAAAGAAGCCAGACCUAAAAGAGAACACACUGUAUAAUUCUUUGUUUGAAAUUCUAGGAAAGACAAGUUUAUUCCACGGUGUUAAAUCCUCAUCUCAUGGGAGUUAUUCUCAAUGGUUUCUUGGGCUAGGCCCAGCAGGGGUGGGCAAGCUUUUUGACUCGAGGGCCAC